GUUGGGAUAACUCAGUUGGUAGGGAAAAGGACUGAAAAUCUUCAUGCCACCAAUUUAAAUCCGGUUCCUGGCA
rnacentral:tRNA from 1 species